rnacentral:rRNA from 1 species
GGCUCAGGAUGAACGCUAGCGAUAGGCCUAACACAUGCAAGUCGAGGGGCAGCAUAGAGUAGCAAUACUUGAUGGCGACCGGCGCACGGUGAGUAACACGUAUGCAACCUACCUACAUCAGGGGAAUAACCCGGAGAAAUUCGGACUAAUACCGCAUAAUACAGGGAUGCCGCAUGGCAAUAUCUGUUAAAGAUUUAUCGGAUGUAGAUGGGCAUGCGUUCCAUUAGCUAGUUGGUGAGGUAACGGCUCACCAAGGCAACGAUGGAUAGGGGAACUGAGAGGUUUGUCCCCCACACUGGAACUGAGACACGGACCAGACUCCUACGGGAGGCAGCAGUGAGGAAUAUUGGUCAAUGGACGAGAGUCUGAACCAGCCAAAUCGCGUGAAAAGGGAAGACUGCCCUACGGGUUGUAAACUUCUUUUGUACAGGAAUAAAAGACAUUACGUGUAAUGUAUUGCAUGUACUGUACGAAUAAGCAUCGGCUAACUCCGUGCCAGCCGCCGC